rnacentral:rRNA from 1 species
CCCUUAGAUGUUCUGGGCCGCACGCGCGCUACACUGACUACUUCAACGAGUUGUUUCCUUGAUCGAAAGGUCUGGGUAAUCUUUGAAAGGUAGUCGUGAUGGGGAUAGAUCCUUGCAAUUUUUGAUCUUCAACGAGGAAUUCCUAGUAAACGCAAGUCAUCAGCUUGCAUUGAUUACGUCCCUGCCCUUUGUACACACCGCCCGUCGCACCUACCGAUUGAAUGGUCCGGUGAAUCUUUAGGACUGUGGCUGAGGCCUUGCCUUGUGCGGGGCUGGCCGUGGGAAUUUAGUUAAACCUUACCAUUUAGAGGAAGGUGAAGUCGUAACA